AUUCAUGCACAUUUAAGAUAUAUAGAGAGACGCAUGAAGCUGUUAAGAAAGACCGAUCUAUGUUGGAAUACAGCGGUAACCUAAAAAAAAGAUGGUGACAGUGACAGAGUCGUAACCAUUGCCGCGUGAUAGAUGAUAGUGAUAAUGAAAUAUAUAUUGACGGCAGGGAGCUGAUGCCGAGGAGAUCUUUCAGAAGGAAGGUGUAUCCAAAAUCGCACACGAACAUUUUAUAUUCAACUAUAUGGUAUACAAUUUUGCCGCUAUAUAUUGACCGCAGGGAGCUGAUACCGAAGAGAUCGUUAAGAAGGAAGGUGUAUCCAAAAUUGCACAUGUAUGGGACUUGUGAGUUAUGCAAAGCAAUUGAUACUGUUAAGGUUAAGGUUCAUUGGUCAUAUGAAGUUUGCACACGUCAAGCUUGACAUCCUAAAGACAUCAUACACAAUGCAUUCUGAAAACGAUACCGUGCAGGUUCGUUGGCGUAUACGUGGUGUCAUCACAGGCUGGAAGGUAUUUUCUGUGUUUUGGAAGUAAAAUUUGUAAAAUACAACAUGUCAUAAAAUAAGCGCUAACCAGGAAAUAUGGUACGACGGCUUUUGUAUUUUUUACGUUAAUGCUGAAUGGAAAAGUCUAUAAGCAUAUUGCGGACAAGAUGAUGCCUAAUCAGGAUACAGCCACAAAAAAGAAAGAUAUGCGCAUGGCAGGGAAAUUAGCGCUAUUCACAGGCCUUGUAAACAUAUUUAGUAACAACGAGGAUUCUUUGAAUUGAGCUCUGUCUUAAAAUCGCAUCAAUUGAAGUGAAUCCAUUGCUGA